AGUCAACUUUUCUCAGAAAAGUAUUUUGAGGGCCAGCAUGAAUAUUUUAUUUGAGAUAGCGCACUCCAUCUUUUCAAGAGAAAAGAGACCCAAGCGCUCGCAUGCCCUUAACGGAUUAGAUGAGAGGGUGGGCGAAAGUAGGUGAAAGUGACAGCACGAGACCUUCAAAACGAACCCUGCUGAAGGGUUCACGGCUAAGUCUAUAUAGAUAUGCCGAAACGUGCCGAGUAGGGUCAAACACACGACGAGGACCUAGACAAAGUUUUGAAAAAAACGACUUGUAGGGCGUGUUGAACGCAAGUAAAAAGUCUAGUUGUAAGCUGAAAUGCUUACAGAGUAAUCUAAUCC
rnacentral:sRNA from 12 species